GUGGAGGAAGGAGAAUGGCGUGAACCCGGGAGCCAGAGCUUGCAGUGAGCGGAAAUCAUGCCACUGCACUGCAGCCUGGGCAAUAGAGCCAGACUCCAUCUCAAAAAAAAAAAAAAAGAAAGAAAUGAAGGAUGAAGGUGAUAGUAGAAAGUUGUAAAAAUAUCCCCUUUUUUUUUGAGAAAAAGUCUUACACUGUGUCACCCAGGCUGGAGUGCAGUGGCACAAUCUUGGCUCACCGCAACCUCUGCCUCUCAGAUUCAAGUGAUUCUUCUUCCUCAGCCUCCCAAGUAGCUGGGAUUACAGGCACCCACCACCAUGCCCAGCUAAUUUUUUUGUAUGUUUAGUAGAGACGGGGUUUCACCCUGUUGGCCAGGCUGGUCUUGAACUCCUGAUCUCAAGUGAUCUCCCCACCUCAGCCUCCCAAAGUGCUGAGAUUUCAGGCGUGAGCCACCAUGCCCAGCUAAAAAUAUACUUUCUUGGCAAAGUAAAAAGCUUGCAAAUGCAUAUUUGUCUUUCCAAUUUUUUCCCUGUUAUCUGUGAAAUCAUCUGAUCAUUAGAUCUACUGCUUUAAAAGAUAAGCUUUUCAUGUAACUGUGAUGUUCUGUUUUAAUGGAAAAUUGACUUUUGCAGUAUGCCCCAAAGAAUAAAGCCCUCAAAGAAUGUGAGGCCUGAACUCACUUCAAAUGCUGGGAAGACGCUUUCCUUAGCUGAGCUGCGGAGGCACCAGGACUCCUGUGGCACUGCCCUAACGAGGAGGCAGUGCUGCCAAAUUCAGGUCUGCAAGACAGCUUUGGUUCAGCUGAUUGCAGCCAGGCUUACCCUGACUUUGCCGGGUGCUGUGAACCCCAGCCUUCAGGUCGAGUUCAGGUACGCUCUAUAUGUCUCCAUCGUUCUGGGACCAGUGGGUAUGUGGGACAAGUUCUUUUCAUGGCAAGUGGCAGACGCCUCUAGGCCAAGCCAAAUCACUCAAAUACAUUUAAAUUUCUGAUCAUGUUAUGUCUGCUAACAGGCCAUUGGCUAAUGAAGCUUACAUGGUCCAGCUCAAUCAACGGGGGUGAAGGAGAGGGCAAUCUAGAGGGGGUCCUGCCGAGUCAUAAGGCAAAGGGAGAGGAUGGGAAGAAGGCACUGUAAUGCAACCUACCACAGCCACAGAGGAGGAGAUGUAUCUUUUCUGCAGACAGUUACUAUUAAAGACAGAAAGGGACUAAAUCACUCCGUGUCGAUUUCACCAUUAGCAGCACCCCAUCCUGGUAAAAUUAGACAAAAAUGAAACUGCCUUCCUACUAGCUUUAGUGUGUGUAUAUUAAUAAUUCUUUCCCCAUAAUGUAUAAUGUCAGAC
rnacentral:lncRNA from 1 species